UAUAUCUUAAUUUUACUAAUGAUGUUUAAUUUUUGUGUUAAUGCCUUUUGAUCACAUCUUAAUUAGUUUUAAUGCUUCUUUAAUCUCUUGACAUGUCAUUUUGGAUAUGUGUUGUUCAGCACCUUGGGCUUCCAUAACGGAAGUGGAAGGUCUUAUAUAGAAAAGUUUGAUUGAUUCAUUGACCCAACAGUUUCUUAUGCUGUUUGCAUUAUUUUUGUAGUUAUAAACCCCACAGAAAAGGCUCCAUCUGCUGCUCCUGUUUUUCAAGAGGUUUCACAUGGAUCUGCUGGCAUCCCUGUAGCUAUAGUGUUAAUUAUAAUUGCUUUAGUUGGACUUGGGGCCUUCUUCCUGUUCCGUAAUCGAAUACAAAUACCCACACCUGUCCUGGGAGAGUGCACGUUUGACAACAAGCUCUACUUCAACAAUCCAAACCGAGCUCCUGUGGACACUAAAGGCUUGGUGGUCAACAUAGAGCAGAACGAACAAGCACAGAAAACAUGAGACUAAAAAGACUUUGGAAAAGAUCUUAAAGAAAUGCUCCAGUGUUAUUUUCAUCUUUUUCAGAAGCAAAAAGAUGUUAAUAAAAAUUAUAAGUCUGACGUCGUACUUAAGUAAACACAAGAUUUUACAUACUGAUGUUUUUAAAAGCACAUUAAUAAAAAUAAGUUUAAUUAAUUUGCACAAACUUGUUGGGACUGUUUCAAUCAGUGCAACCAAGAACGUAUGUGUACAUGUUUAAACUCACCAAAGGUUAGCUUGUUUUAUUACAAAUCGACAGAUCUAUAAAAACUAAAGUGUUGUGAAUAUUCUCAAGGGGCUGUUUGCCACUCUCGUAUUUCCUGGUGAUUCUGUAAAUAAAUGUUAAAAUAAAUUCA